UAAACGGAGAAGAGGCACCGCCAUUUUGCCGCUACAGCUCCGUUCGGAAAGCGUUGGUGACGCCGUGGAUUUUCUUUUCUCUCGCUUCGACGGACCCGAGAACGCCCGCGGGUCCUUCCUGACGUUACCUGGUCGACAAGGACGCGAGUGAAAUGAGCGCCAUUGAGCGUAGCGGUAGCCGUAGCGCUAGUCCCAGAAGGCCUAAAAACAGCGACGGAGGAAUGAGAAACUCUAGAUCGCGAUCCCGAUCGCGCAAGUCACGAGAGCGCAAAGAGGGCCACAGACCUGUCAAAGGGAAAUAUUCACGGUCACGUAGCAGAUCUGCUUCCCGGGGAAGGAAGUCCUAUCAGAUGAGCAAGUACUCGAGCAACAGACGCCGCAGCAGCCGCACCCGCAGUCGCAGUCGAAGCAGAUCGAGCUACCGUGGAGUACGGUACUCCCGCAGUAGGUCUCGCUCGUACUCCCGUUCCAAGUAUUCCCGCGAAAGGGACAGGUAUGUCUACCGCUCGCACUCGAGGAGCCCCAUGUCCUCGAGGCGACGUCACGUCGGCAACCGCGACAACCCCUGUCCUUCGAGAUGUCUCGGUGUCUUCGGACUCUCCAUUUAUACCACCGAGCAUCAGAUCUAUCACAUCUUCUCCAAGUAUGGGGUUGUCGAGCGAGUACAGGUUGUCAUAGAUGCAAAGACUGGACGGUCUAGAGGAUUUUGCUUUGUAUAUUUUGAAUCGUCAGAGGAUGCCAAGGUAGCAAAAGAACAGUGCACGGGAAUGGAAAUCGAUGGCCGGCGAAUACGAGUAGAUUUUUCAAUUACUCAACGAGCUCAUACGCCUACUCCUGGAAUUUACAUGGGCAAACCAACCCACUUGCACGACAGAGGCUGGGACGGACCCAGACGUAGAGAGAGUAGUUACAGAGGAAGCUACCGACGGUCGCCCAGUCCAUAUUACAACCGACGACGUUCUCGAUACGACCGGUCCAGAUCACGCUCCUAUUCCCCACGUCGAUAUGUAGUGGCACGAGUGUGAUGCGAGAGGCCAGGUGUUGGGAGCCGUUUGUGUGACUUGAUCCUUUGAUCCCCAUUACUUCUAAGUAAUACACUCGCACGGUGCCAAAUCAUUUUAUGCAAACGCCGCAUUACCACCCUACCGUUCUCACCUUACCCGGCUCUAUUUCAAAAAUUGCACGGAUUCGACAGGAGCCCGAUAAGUAGAGCCGAAGAGGUCGAGCCUUUCCUGACCAAAGUCUCCGCUAUUUUCUUCACGGCUUCGAAAUCAUUUUACCUUUCCUUUAACGCUUUGUGAUUUUAAAAAUCGGGAAAGUAUUCUUCAUUGAUUCGUGAGGCCUCGUCGGUUAACAUCUCGCAAGGUUUAAAUUUAAUUCUGUCCGUUAAUUAUAUUCGAUUGAACUUUAUCGAUUCGUGGAGGUGCACCGGAAGGAGUUCUUAAAAGUAUAGUUAUAGCGGGAUAAUUUUCGUUGCUCGGAGGUGUCUUGAACUUUUGAGCUUCGAGCCUACUUAUCGGGGAGUUUGAGAUGACGGAUACAAAGUACGGUGUAUCGAGGAUCUUUCGAUGGGACACUUGGAACGGAGAAAAGAUGCCUCUAGCCUCUUUUGCCUAGGAAAGAGUAAGGUCAGAACGGACGCGGAACUUUAUUUUCAUGAACUUCCCCAGACCUACUCUUCGCUCGACGUAUCUCAAAGUUAAAGGAGAUAAGGUUUUUAGUUAUACUCUUUACUCUCGUCCGGCGAUAAUGUGAAGGUUGGAAUACGCAUGUGGAAUUGUUGCGAGGUUCUGUCUCGUUGGUUCUUCCCUCUCUCUCUUUCUCUCGCCCCCUCUCGAGGGGAGUUGGCCCUCGGUACAAAGUUGUAUUUCAGCCAUUCGACGGUCGACUACCACCCAGAUGGUACGAAGCUGCGCUAAUGUGCUACGCGUAAACCUAUAAAUGUAUCCGUCUAUCUAUCGUAAGGCUUUAUUACGAAGAAGGUUUUGAAUCAAGAGGUAUUGGAUGAUAGAGGGAACUCUCUGUGUCGAAAAAAUGAACGGUUUUGCAAACGAAAAGUCGAAGACAAGAGAUCCGCCGGAAGAGAAGAAAUACGUUUCGCUUCUUCUCGCUCGGCUAGGCUCGAAAAAUCAAGAGAAAACCGAGGGUUCGUGUCGCGCGACUCGUGAGAAAGAAUAUGAUCCGAAACCGGCCUCCCCCCCGUCGAGUUCGUUCUCGGGCCUCUAGGAAGAGCACUCAAGCAAUGGUUAAUGCAAGAGAAUACGAGAAUACAGGAAGAGGGAAAAACGUUGGGUGAGUCGGUGCUGCGAGAGAGAAAUACCGAUAUAUGUACAUGUACGUCGAGAGAAAUCGCUCGGCGAACGUGGCCCGAGAGGGAAAGAAAGAAGAGAGAAAACGUCGAGAUAUCCGUAGAGCUAUAUAUAUAUAUAUACUUAUACAUAUAUAUAUAUGCAUAUACAUAUACAUAUAUACGUACCCGCGAGAGAAGAAUAAGGAGAUUCGUGCUCGCAGGUUUAGUCGAACCGAUCAUAUUCUUUAUCAAUUGGUUGUGUAUAUCGGGUGUCGCUCGUUCUCGAGGACGCCACAUAGCUCGCGGUCCGGGUCCUCGGCCGGUCCGCCACUUCCCCGCUUCGCAAUAAAAAGAGAGAAUAAAGGUGUGCACCCCUCUCUGUCCAUCCUGUCCCUCCACCAUCCCAAGACCUCCGACAGUCGCCCAGUCUUUUAUCUAGAGAUAGACGUCCUUCGUUUUCGCGGGUUCUUCGUUUCUUUUCCAUUUUCUCGAAUUUUCUUUUAUCCCAAAGCUUCUUCCGUCGCCUUUCCAAGGAGCUGACGAUUCCGGGGCGCCUUGUAUUUGCGUUUAACCGUGUACAAACGUGUCCAUAAGUAUUGAAUAAAGAUCAAAUCAUCGAUCGAA
rnacentral:misc_RNA from 1 species